UAUUUUCUCAGACGCCCUUUCUCUAUUAUCUCUUCCUCCUCAUCCUCUCUCUCUCUCUCUCCGAUGAAGAAGGUGAAGGGGGUGAUGAUGGCGAGGGACAUAUCGACAACAACGACGAUGAGGGUGAGCCCAUACCUUCAUCAAUGACGACAACGACAACAACGAGAGGGUUGGGAAAAGUUAUUUAUACCUAGUGUGGAAGCAAGAAGCUAUUACAUUUUCUCAGUUUCUUGAGAGGAUUAAGGCUAAUGGCUCUUCCUCUGCUGCCCCAACAUAUCUUGAGAGGAUUUGCAUCUCAUAUUCACCAAAUGCAACUUUUGAAAUUAUUCUUAUAAACUGGUACUUUUAAACUUUUAUUAAUUUGUUC